rnacentral:rRNA from 1 species
CGAAGUCCGUGAGCCAUGCGUCAAGAAAAGCCGCUAUCGUUUAUACCGUACCCGUACCGUAAACCGACACAGGUGGAUGAGGAGAGAAUCCUAAGGCCGGCGGAAGAAGCAUUGUCAAGGAACUCGGCAAAAUGGCCCCGUAACUUAGGGAUAAGGGGUGCCUGGGAAACCAGGCCGCAGAGAAUAGGCUCAAGCAACUGUUUAGCAAAAACACAGGUCUAUGCGAAACCGAAAGGUGAGGUAUAUGGGCUGACGCCUGCCCGGUGCUGGAAGGUUAAGAGGAGAGGUUAGCGGUAACGCGAAGCUUUGAAUUUAAGCCCCAGUAAACGGCGGCCGUAACUAUAACGGUCCUAAGGUAGCGAAAUUCCUUGUCGGGUAAGUUCCGACCCGCACGAAAGGCGUAAUGAUUUGAGCGCUGUCUCGACAAUGCAUCCGGUGAAAUUGAAGUACCAGUGAAGAUGCUGGUUACCUGCGCCAGGACGGAAAGACCCCAUGGAGCUUUACUCCAGUCUGGUACUGGGACUCGGUAUUGCAUGUACAGGAUAGGUGGGAGGCUAGGAGAUGGUAACGCCAGUUGCCAUGGAGCCGCUGUUGGGAUACCACCCUUGCAGUAUUGGGUUUCUAACCAGCCGCCGUGACCCGGCGGUGGGACAAUGCCAGACGGGGAGUUUGACUGGGGCGGUCGCCUCCGAAAGGGUAUCGGAGGCGCCCAAAGGUUCCCUCAGAAUGGACGGAAACCAUUCGAAGAGUGCAAAGGCAGAAGGGAGCUUGACUGCGACACCGACGGGUGGAGCAGGUACGAAAGUAGGGCUUAGUGAUCCGGUGGUAUUAAGUGGGAAUGCCAUCGCUCAACGGAUAAAAGCUACCCUGGGGAUAACAGGCUUAUCACUCCCAAGAGUUCACAUCGACGGAGUGGUUUGGCACCUCGAUGUCGGCUCAUCGCAUCCUGGGGCUGUAGUAGGUCCCAAGGGUUGGGCUGUUCGCCCAUUAAAGCGGUACGCGAGCUGGGUUCAGAACGUCGUGAGACAGUUCGGUCCCUAUCCGGCGUGGGCGUAGGAUAUCUGAGAGGAGCUGUCCUUAGUACGAGAGGACCGGGAUGGACGGGCCGCUGGUGCAUCGGUUAGACUGCCAAGUCUACGGCCGAGUAGCCAAGCCCGGAAGGGAUAAACGCUGAAGGCAUCUAAGCGUGAAGCCCCCCUUAAGAUGAGAUAUCCCAUUCGAAAGAAGUAAACCCCCUUGAAGACGACGAGGUAGAUAGGGCAGAGGUGGAAGUG